rnacentral:sRNA from 6 species
GAGGUUCGACUCGAGCGAAGCGAGAGAACGUUGCGUUAGCAACGGCCCGCAGGGCGAGUCACGCAGUGGCGAGUCAUCCUCUAUCACCGGCAG